rnacentral:rRNA from 1 species
CCUACGGGGGGCAGCAGUGAGGAAUAUUGGUCAAUGGCCGGAAGGCUGAACCAGCCAUGCAGCGUGAAGGUCAGUGCCCUAUGGGCGUUAAACUUCUUUUGUGCGGGAGCAAUAAUGGUCACGUGUGGCCAGACGAGAGUACCGUACGAAUAAGCAUCGGCUAACUCCGUGCCAGCAGCCGCGGUUAUACGGGGGAUGCAAGCGUUAUUCGGAUUUUUUGGGUUUAAAGGGUGCGUAGGCUGUGAGGUAAGUCAGCUGUGAAAUGCCCCCGCUCAACGGGGUGAAGUGCCAUUGAUACUGGCUUGCUGGAGUGCGGAUGCGGUGGGAGGAAUGUGUGGUGUAGCGGUGAAAUGCAUAGAUAUCACACAGAACACCGAUUGCGAAGGCAGCUCACGAAUCCGCGAUUGACGCUGAUGCACGAAAGCGUGGGUAUCAAACAGGAUUAGAUACCCGGGUAGUC